rnacentral:rRNA from 1 species
UGCGGAGGGAUCAUUACACAAUACAAUAUGAAGGCUGUCCGCAGCUGGAGUAUUUUAUUACCCUUGUCUUUUGCGCACUUGUUGUUUCCUGGGCGGGUUCGCUCGCCACCAGGACCACCAAAUAAACCUUUUUUUAUGCAGUUGCAAUCAGCGUCAGUACAAACAAUGUAAAUCAUUUACAACUUUCAACAACGGAUCUCUUGGUUCUGGCAUCGAUGAAGAACGCAGCGAAAUGCGAUACGUAGUGUGAAUUGCAGAAUUCAGUGAAUCAUCGAAUCUUUGAACGCACAUUGCGCCCUUUGGUAUUCCAAAGGGCAUGCCUGUUCGAGCGUCAUUUGUACCCUCAAGCUUUGCUUGGUGUUGGGCGUUUUUGUCUUUGGUCGCCCAAAGACUCGCCUUAAAGUGAUUGGCAGCCGGCCUUUCUGGUUUCGCAGCGCAGCACAUUUUUGCGCUUGCCAUCAGCAAAACGGCAAUCCAUCAAGCCUCCUUCUCACGUUUGACCUCGGAUCAGGUAGGGAUACCCGCUGAACUUGAGCAUAUCAAU